UACGGGGGGGCAAGCGUUGUUCGGAAUUACUGGGCGUAAAGGGCUCGUAGGCGGCCAACUAAGUCGGACGUGAAAUCCCUCAGCUUAACUGGGGAACUGCGUCCGAUACUGGAUGGCUUGGAUUUGGGAGAGGGAUGCGGAAUUCCAGGUGUAGCGGUGAAAUGCGUAGAUAUCUGGAGGAACACCGGUGGCGAAGGCGGCAUCCUGGACCAAUAUUGACGCUGAGGAGCGAAAGCUAGGGGAGCAAACGGG
rnacentral:rRNA from 1 species